rnacentral:rRNA from 1 species
GUGGAUGGGUGGCAAGGGGCGGCGGUAAGUGGAGUGCUGCAAUGUUUGAUCGUGAUUACGGGUGCUAAAGCGUGGGUAGGUGGGUCAGUAUGAUGGGUGUGAAAUCCCCGGGCUUAACCUGGGAACUGCUUUCAUAACGGCUGAGCUAGAGGACGGGAGAGGGUAGUGGAAUUUCCGGUGUAGCGGUGAAAUGCGUAGAUAUAGGAAGGAACACCAGUGGCGAAGGCGACUACCUGGACUGAUACUGACACUGAGGUGCGAAAGCGUGGGGAGCAAACAGGAUUAGAUACCCGAGUAGUC